rnacentral:rRNA from 1 species
GCGCAGCAGUCGAGAAAACUUCACAAUGUGCGAAAGCACGAUGAGGGAAUCCCAAGUGCUUGCACGUAAGUGUAAGCUGUUUCUCUGUCUAAAACGCAGAGAGAGUAAGGGCUGGGUAAGACGGGUGCCAGCCGCCGCGGUAAUACCUGCAGCUCGAGUGGUGACCGUUAUUAUUGGGCCUAAAACGUCCGUAGCCGGUUUAAUAAAUGCCUGGGUAAAUCGGACCGCUUAACGGUUCGAAUUCCGGGUAGACUGUUAAACUUGAGACCGGGAGAAGUUAGAGGUACUCCUGGGGUAGAGGUGAAAUUCUGUAAUCCUAGGGGGACCACCAGUGGCGAAGGCGUCUAACUAGAACGGGUCUGACGGUGAGGGACGAAGCCCUGGGGCGCAAACGGGA